CUCGGUGCAAGGAUCACAGAGCUGCAGUGGAACCAAUAGUUCCCUUGUCAUCACGAAGGAAGUCUUGAGUUCAAUUGGAACACACGAAAGGGAUGAUUUUGGGUAUGAUGGAUGUCCUGCCCUUUUCGGAUCAGAAGCAGCUGAUGACUGAACAACAUGUGCCCUUGCCACCAUCCUCCAGAAUUGAAGCAGUGGAAUACUUUCAUUCGAAAGGGAGUAGAUAACAUGUUGGCAUGUGUGAAAAUAUCGAGUUGGGUCUUGCAUGACUGAAGCUUUUGGAAUCCAUACUGGGUGGCAUAUAGGAGCUCAUUCUCAUUGAGAUACCUCAUUGUGUUUUAUCUCAGAAUCAAACCAACCUUUGGGUGAAACCAACCUUUCGGUUAAUGACAGUUUUACUUUUCUUUAACAUGUAUGUCUCGUAAAAUUAUGAUAUUAGCUUUCGUGCUGCAAAAAUGCUGUGUAUUUGCUUGCUUCAACAUCACAUAUAUACUACAUCAAUGGAUGUCCAAACCAAAUGAGCUUCAUGGCCCUUUAUGAUCCACACUUUGAUU
rnacentral:lncRNA from 1 species